rnacentral:rRNA from 1 species
CUACGGGGGGCAGCAGUGAGGAAUAUUGGUCAAUGGGCGCGAGCCUGAACCAGCCAUCCCGCGUGCAGGAUGACGGCCCUAUGGGUUGUAAACUGCUUUUCUAUGCCAAGAAACCUGAUUACGUGUAAUCAGUUGCCGGUAGCAUAGGAAUAAGCAUCGGCUAACUCCGUGCCAGCAGCCGCGGUAAUACGGAGGAUGCAAGCGUUAUCCGGAGUCAUUGGGUUUAAAGGGUGCGCAGGUGGGCUUGUAAGUCAGUGGUGAAAUGCUGCCGCUUAACGGUAGAACUGCCAUUGAUACUGCGAGUCUUGAGUAUGGUCGAGGUAAGCGGAAUGUGUUGUGUAGCGGUGAAAUGCAUAGAUAUGACACAGAACGCCAAUUGCGAAGGCAGCUUACUAAGCCAUUACUGACGCUGAGGCACGAAAGCGUGGGGAGCGAACAGGAUUAGAUACCCCCGUAGUC